AAGUCGUAACAAGGUCUCCGUUGGUGAACCAGCGGAGGGAUCAUUACAGAGUGUAAAAACUCCUUAAACCCACUGUUUAUCUAUCUUAUAAGUUUCCUUUGGUGGGCAAUCCCAGGGGGGAUUGAUGCUAAUUGUUAGCGCCCACCAAAGAAGACAACCACUAAAACUCUUGUUUUCAAUUGAAACUCUGAGAUUAAAACAAAUAAUUAAAACUUUCAACAACGGAUCUCUUGGUUCUG
rnacentral:misc_RNA from 1 species